GCCUCCUCCUCAGUGCAGCGAACAUGUAGAGCCAAGCGAACAAAAUGCCGACCGGAAGUGCAGCUGCAGGAAUGACUCCCUCCACAGGCGCCAAACAUAACAGCCUCUCCCUUUCCUCCACGGUCGCUUCCUCACUUGCUUGGCUGGCACUGCUUCCGCUGCCGCUGCAUUGCUCUACGUUACCCUCCUCCUAGCUUUGCUGCAACCGAAGUUCCUUGUCUCACCGCACCUGGGCAGCGAUGGGCACAGCUGAAUCUCCACUGCGUGGCUGUCACUCCACUUCCCACCCACCUGGCUCCCUCCUGAUUUUUUUCUUCUUUUCCCAGCUGGUGCAUGGAACUAGAUGGGAGUUUGUACUCAGGCCUACACUGAAGGAAAAGCAGCUAGAGAUUUGUGAAAAAGUGAUCUUUGAAAAAAAAUACACAUUUUGGGUUUAUUUUUUUUAUCUUCCUUAAGGAUGGUAGGGAGAAGGACUUACAAAUGACUGCAAAAUGCCACCUUAUAGGAGGCAGACUUAAGAAGGCAACUUAUAAUGAAGCCAUGAAGGCAGCAGUCUCCAUCAGCCCCAGCAAGCAAGACGUGGCAAAUCUGGGACACUUACUGGAAUUACUGUUACCAUUACUGAUAAUCUCUGUGGAAUUUAAGAGGCUGUGUCACAGGAACUAAACUAAAACACCCAAUGCCAAAAGUGCUGCCAGAGCACAUAUCAAACUUGAGUGAUUUUUAAGAACAGCCCUUUUGGACAAGUACAAGAGAGAAUGCAGAUGUUAAGCUGAAGGGUCCUAUGCUGGAGGCUGAUGUUCCUCACCAAUUCCAGAUUUACUGGAAAUAUUUUAAUUGUGGGUUGUGAAGGACUGUUUGGAAAAAGAAUGUCUUAGUCUGAAAGAUUUUCUGUUUUUUUUCUGUACAGGUAAGGCUCUGUAUAAUCAUAGCACAGGAUAAUAGUAAAGAAGCAUUUACAUAGGAUGCUCUGAAAGUAAUGCCUCCUAUUUAUUUCCAUGGAAACUAUAAUGGAUACAAAGAACACAAUAACACUAUUUGAUAAAUUCUUAGCUAUAAAACACUACUCUUCAACAUAGUCACAACCAUUAGCUGUACAUUUUGACCAGUCACAAACAAGAACCUGCAUGCUGUGUUCAUAAGAGUCUGCACGGCCAUCUGGAAUGUGGCUUGUCAUUCAUAUCACUGUUGCCACUGCUGAAAUGUACCACCCACCCCUCACUGUGCUCACAUCCACUUUUUGGUCUCCAUAAACAUUCAGCAAGUGUCAAUGAAUGUCAAUAGUGCUGUUUUCUUCGCAGGGAGGAAUUCAGUGACACACCAUUGCUCCAUACCCACUUCCAUGUCAGACACCAUUUUGUCAGACUGCCCCUCUGUUGCCAUCUGUUGUACAGCAACAACACGGAUCGAAAUAUUGGUGGGAAGGUUCAACCUCAACUGCCAUCCCACCAACAUCUGCCUCUGACAUUGUAGGCCAACAUCAUAAAAUAAAAGACAUUACUUUUGGAACAGCUAUCAUUACAUCUAAUGAAUUAACUACAUCUUUUCAUACUAAAUUCUGCUGUCUUGCUCCUCAGACAAAAAUCCUUUGGGAACUGUUAAGUCACAGCCUGAACAAGUGAUUGAGCACCUAGUAAAGAAGCA
rnacentral:lncRNA from 1 species